UUGGAGGGCAAGUCUGGUGCCAGCAGCCGCGGUAAUUCCAGCUCCAAUAGCGUAUAUUAAAGUUGUUGCAGCUAAAAAGCUCGUAGUUGAAUUUCGGGAUUAGUACGUUGGUCGUGCCUUCGGUACGUACUGGUGUUACUGAUUCCUACCUUCUGACGAACCAUCAUGUCAUUAAUUUGGUGUGGCGGGGAAUCAGGACUGUUACUUUGAAAAAAUUAGAGUGUUUAAAGCAGGCUCGCGCUUGAAUACAUUAGCAUGGAAUAAUGAAAUAGGACGUUGAUCCUAUUUUGUUGGUUUCUAGGAUUGACGUAAUGAUUAAUAGGGAUAGUUGGGGGCAUUAGUAUUCAAUUGUCAGAGGUGAAAUUCUUGGAUUUAUUAAAGACUAACUACUGCGAAAGCAUUUGCCAAGGAUGUUUUCAUUAAUCAAGAACGAAAGUUAGGGGAUCGAAGACGAUCAGAUACCGUCGUAGUCUUAACCAUAAACUAUGCCGACUAGGGAUCGGAUGAUGUUAUUUUUAAUGACUCAUUCGGCGCCUUACGGGAAAC
rnacentral:rRNA from 1 species